AGGAGCAAUGAGGAGGCUGAGUGCUCUAUGCAUGGUCCACUCACCUGGCUUGUCAGCUGUGGAGAGCUUCCUGGCUCGUCAGCUGUGGAGAGCUUCCCACGGCAGAGCUGGCCCGGCGCUCUGCCGUGGCACAGGCCAACACAUGGGCUCUCCAGGGAUUGUGAGAUGAGCACUGUGGUCUGCUGAAAGAGCUAGGUGUGGUCCGAGCACAGGCUGACAGUCAGCUGAAAGAAGAGCGGAGUAAGACCUUUACUCUACUGCAGAUACUGGAGAAUGUCCCAGUCAAGACUGAAGCUGACCAGCUGAGGUACAACCAGCAUCUUGCCAUUCAAUGUCAGCAUUUGGAGGGAGAAAUCAAGGAAAUGCAAAUGAGAGUUGAGCACCAGAUUAAAGCUGCUAAUAGGGUCUCAAACCACAAACAAGCCACCCAGCUCCUACGAACUGAGCUUCAGGAUGCUUGUGCACAAGUCAAGGAUAGGGAGGACUCUAU